GGCUGGAGCUGGCUUACCAGGCCCGUGGGGGCUCUUCAGGGCAGGCAGGGGUUCCUGGCAGAACAAGGGGCCAUUCCUGAGUUCGGCCUGAGCUUUCAUCUACUGAUUUCUGGCUUUAGUAAACCUGAGGGGCCUUUUGGACUUUACUGGCGUCCUGUGAGAGAUGUUUAUGAGCCUUGACAUUUUUCAGCUGCGGGCCCUGCCCUAGAUGGCCAUCGGUGUGCGGCCGUCGGAGGGCACAGUUGAUUUCAUGGAAAGGAGGCUCCACGGCCCAGAGUCUUCCCACAGCGACUUCUCUUUGGAUGGAACGUGGUCCCCAUCUGCCUUCUCCUGAGGAAUCUCUGCUCAUCCUCACUCCCCCUCGCAGAGGUCUCUUCCUCCUCACUGAGUGCCCAUCAGGCGUCCUCCUCAUCCCUCCCCUCCAGACCUAGAGCUUUUGCUCGCCCUGAACCAGGAGUGCUUGGAGCCUGGCCUAGCCCACCACAGGCCUACCUCAGUGAGUGUGACUGACUGACCAGGUGACUGACAGUCACUCUCUCCACUUUACACGUGAGGAGAUUGCCGUUCCGGGGACUGACGGGACCCCUGUAAGGUCACGCGGCCUGUCAGUAAAGGAGCUACUGAAGAGGGAAAAGUGGCAUUUUCCCUCUUACCACGCCCCACUCUUCUUGGUUGAGGAGGACCAAGUUGGGCACACAUCUCAAGACUGACUAAAGCAAGAUUUGGAUGAAGGUAGAUAUGUGUAAUUGUAAUUAUAAAUAAUGGAUAAGCAGAGCCUGACUAGAAAAAAUAAAAAAUACAAUCUAGCUUUGAAGAAUCAGAAAGAGGAUGGAGAGACUGAAGAUGAUAGUGUUUAGAACCUUAAUGAAGACAUGAAGAAGACCCUUUUGCUACUUGGAAGACAUGAACUCAGGGCAAUCAAAUAAGGGGUUAUAUACCCGCAGAAUAUAUUAUUUUUAAUGGGUUGUGUUGUCUGGAAAUGUAAAGUGUUUUUCUCAACGCUUCUAUCAUUUAUAAAAUAAUCUCAACAUUUUGGGAAAGUUGAGCCAUGAGGCCCUUCUGCCUAUGUCGACCAGUAGACCAUCAUGGGCCUGGUAGGCUUGAUCUGAAUGCCCAUAGGUCACUAUUAUUAAGCAGCAGGCUCUGCCAGCUCCUUUGAAGUCUGAAGUGGGUCAGGACACUUGUUUCAGGGCCAGCUGCAUUGGAAGGAAGAAUUGAACUAGAGGGAGUUUUCAGAAAUUCUAGGGGAAUUUUCACAAGUGAUGCUAUAAUCUGAGAUGCAUUUAAAUUCAGAAGGAGGACUUUAGCUUUCAGAGCUGGGUGGGUGCACCAGAUGCCCGCAGGGUCAGCAGAUAAUGUCUAUGCCUGAAGUGGCCCCAUGUGGAGACAGUGGGGAUUGGAAAGUUCAUGCCAAAGUGCACAAUGGCUACCCGACCCCUUGCCUUGUGGAAAGGUGGGCCUUGUGUUGCCAGGACCAGAUUGCUAACUGAAAUCUCCUGAUUUCUAUUUUCAAGUGUGGCAACUGGCUUGGUUUUUACAAAACACCACGGGAAGCCCAGUCAAAAUGUCUUCAUGGGCUGGAUCACUCCUGGCCAUCACUUUGUGAUGAACAAUCUGACAGGCUUUUGGCCACUUGUCUCCUUCAAGAUUAUUGUUUGGAGUGGGCAUGCUAAGACUUUGAAGGAUUCUUUUAUGGUUGAAUAAUAUUUUCUUCAAGUUAAAACUUAUCUGGAAAAAAGCAACCCUGUUUUACUGGGAGUGGAGGUGAAGGUAUUAGCUCCAGGAAGCUCCUUGAAAAUCACUGUUCUCAAACUUGAAACCAGGAUUCCUAUAUUUUGAAUUCCCCUUCAAAGUUGAAAGGGCACAUGGUCUCUCACACUUAGUGGUCCUGCCUCCUUGGACUCGUCUGCAAAAUAAAAAUAAUAGGACCUACUUAUCUGGGCUAUUAAAAGGAUUAUGUAAAUUAAUACAUGGAAAGUACUUAGAACAGGGCCAGGCAUAUGGCAAGUGCUCAUUAAAUAUCAUCCACUUAUACUUGUCAAUAUUAGGGUUACCUCCUGGGCUUCCCGUGUCACCACUUUAAUUACAUUCCUUCAAACACUUCUAAUUUUUUUUUUUAAUGUGUAAGCCAGCUGCUUUGUCCCUUUCUAGACCUUCGGUUUAUUUUCUUCAUAAAAAAAUAGGAGUUAUAUUAGAAACCAAGCUUAGAAACCAAACCUAGCUAAUUUGUCUUUGCAUUGCCAGCCUGAGUUAGGUCCCUUAAUGCUGCCAUCUUUGGUUUAAAAGCUGGGGACACAGGCGAGUCUGUGUGACUUUGUAAAAUUCUUAAUCAUCAGGACACACACAAGACUCAAGCUUCUGAAACUGAGCAGAGGAGAGGGUGAUGGUGGUGGUGCUGUAUCCCCAGGGUGCACAGAGCAGGUAAUUGAAAGUCACAUAAUAUUCAUUAUGCAUCUUCAAGAGAAAGAUCAGAGGGUGAGUCCAUUAAUCCCCCACUUCCUUCUUUGUUAUAGAUAACUGAUGUCUUCUCAAUCUUAUGCAGUGUUCUUAAAAAAUCAUUUCCAGGUCGGGUGCAGUGGCUCACACCUGUAAUCCCAGAACUUUGGGAGGCUG
rnacentral:lncRNA from 10 species